UCUCCGUUGGUGAACCAGCGGAGGGAUCAUUACCGAGUUAUCAACUUCCAAACCCUUGUUAACCUCCUCUACGUUUCUUCGGCGGGACCGCCCCGGCGCCCUCGGCGUCCCGGAACCAGGCGCCCGCCGGAGGACCCAAAAUAUUGUUUAAACCAUAGCUGCAUAUUCUGAGUCUCACAAGAAAAAUGAAUCAAAACUUUCAACAACGGAUCUCUUGGCUCUG
rnacentral:misc_RNA from 1 species